AUGGGGGUAUUGGAGGUAAAGACGCCAGGGGGCAGGUGUUUACUGUUUGGGAUUGAGAGGAGGAGGUGGUGGAGACUGCAUCACACCACUGAGUGGCCUGUAGUGGAGACGAAAGACGAGAGACGAGAGAGAAGAAAGCGUGGACAGCAGCCUCUGUGUGUUGUCCAGUGUUGUCCAGCAGUCGGACAGACAGUGGGACAUGUCUCUCAGCUUCUCUCUCACUGGAGGAAGACGGAUCUGGACCUCACUCAGUCCGACCCAGUCCAGCUCACACCAGUUCUCCAAGUCGUUGAGCACAGACAGUGUCUCACUGUGAAGAUCCUAGAAGAGUCAAGAAGAUCCCCUGUCCCAUAAGUCUCUGACUUUGGAAAGUCAAGGCUGCUAAAGAAAUACACACAUGUCUAUACCUGGGAGAGUAAAGGUGGCGCUGUGCUCUCAAAAGGGGGAUAAAGUGACGACAGUGCCCCCUGGACGCAGUCCUCCAUCGCCUCCGAACCCUGAGAGGAUAAAGAAACAGAUAAACAGACGACUCUAACACAGACAAGACAGCAGUCAGAGAAAGGCUGUCCACGAGCCAGUCGACGGUCCACCAUCAUCUCUACUCUUCCAUCCA